rnacentral:tRNA from 1 species
GCGGACGUGGUGAAACGGUAGACACGCUGGCUUGAGGGGCCAGUGGGACCUAGUCCCGUGGAGGUUCAACUCCUCUCGUCCGCA